UGAGAGCGGCGUACGGGUGCGGAACACGUGUGCAACCUGCCUUUAUCUGGGGGAUAGCCUUUCGAAAGGAAGAUUAAUACCCCAUAAUAUAUUGACUGGCAUCAGUUGAUAUUGAAAACUCCGGUGGAUAGAGAUGGGCACGCGCAAGAUUAGAUAGUUGGUGAGGUAACGGCUCACCAAGUCUACGAUCUUUAGGGGGCCUGAGAGGGUGAUCCCCCACACUGGUACUGAGACACGGACCAGACUCCUACGGGAGGCAGCAGUGAGGAAUAUUGGACAAUGGGUGAGAGCCUGAUCCAGCCAUCCCGCGUGAAGGACGACGGCCCUAUGGGUUGUAAACUUCUUUUGUAUAGGGAUAAACCUACUCUCGUGAGAGUAGCUGAAGGUACUAUACGAAUAAGCACCGGCUAACUCCGUGCCAGCAGCCGCGGUAAUACGGAGGGUGCAAGCGUUAUCCGGAUUUAUUGGGUUUAAAGGGUCCGUAGGCGGAUCUGUAAGUCAGUGGUGAAAUCUCACAGCUUAACUGUGAAACUGCCAUUGAUACUGCAGGUCUUGAGUGUUGUUGAAGUAGCUGGAAUAAGUAGUGUAGCGGUGAAAUGCAUAGAUAUUACUUAGAACACCAAUUGCGAAGGCAGGUUACUAAGCAACAACUGACGCUGAUGGACGAAAGCGUGGGGAGCGAACAGGAUUAGAUACCCUGGUAGUCCACGCCGUAAACGAUGCUAACUCGUUUUUGGGUUUUCGGAUUCAGAGACUA
rnacentral:rRNA from 1 species